rfam:Candidatus Competibacter denitrificans Run_A_D11, WGS project CBTJ02000000 data, contig: COMPD11_2693_Contig_95
GGCAUAUUUUGCCCAGGCGGCGCUCGACCGCCCAUCCAAACGAUGAACGCCUUCAUCGACACCCACCGUGGCGUUGAUGGGGUCGAGCCGAUCUGCAAGGUGUUGCCGAUUGCCCCA